UACGGGGGGGCAAGCGUUGUUCGGAAUUACUGGGCGUAAAGGGCGCGUAGGCGGGAUGGCAAGUCGGUCGUGAAAUCCCUCGGCUCAACCGAGGAACGUCGAUCGAUACUGCUGUUCUUGAGGAUUGCAGAGGAGACUGGAAUUCCCGGUGUAGCGGUGAAAUGUGUAGAGAUCGGGAGGAACACCGGUGGCGAAGGCGGGUCUCUGGGCAAUUCCUGACGCUGAGGCGCGAAAGCGUGGGGAGCAAACGGG
rnacentral:rRNA from 1 species